UCAGACAAAUGGCUCUUGAGAAUAUAAUACUCUGCUGUAGCAAAUCUACAUUGCCUACAACUGGAAGUGGGUGGUUCUCUAUCAAAUCUUAACUGCUGCAUAAACUCCUUUCUAGUGAGUAGAGGUAAUAAUCCCUUGCUGAGUAGGAAUUAUCUCAU